UACGAAGGGGGCUAGCGUUGUUCGGAAUUACUGGGCGUAAAGCGCGCGCAGGCGGACCAUUAAGUUGGGCGUGAAAUCUCCCGGCCUAACUGGGAGGGGUCGCCCAAGACUGGUGGUCUUGAGGACAGCAGAGGUGGGUGGAAUUCCUGGUGUAGUGGUGAAAUGCGUAGAGAUCCGGAAGAACACCGGUGGCGAAGGCGGUUAGCUGGGCAGUUGCUGACACUGAGGCGCGACAGCGUGGGGAGCAAACAGG
rnacentral:rRNA from 1 species